rnacentral:rRNA from 1 species
GUCUACGGCCAUACCACCCUGAACGCGCCCGAUCUCGUCUGAUCUCGGAAGCUAAGCAGGGUCGGGCCUGGUUAGUACUUGGAUGGGAUAUCUUCUGGUACAGAAUGAAUGUUUAAUACA